GUAAAGCUUGCGCAGGCGGUUUGUAAGACUGUCGUGAAAUCCCCGGGCUCAACCUGGGAAUGGCGAUGGUGACUGCAAGGCUAGAGUUUGGCAGAGGGGGGUAGAAUUCCACGUGUAGCAGUGAAAUGCGUAGAUAUGUGGAGGAACACCGAUGGCGAAGGCAGCCCCCUGGGUCAAAACUGACGCUCAUGCACGAAAGCGUGGGGAGCAAACAGGAUUAGAUCCCCAGU
rnacentral:rRNA from 1 species